CGCCGGCGUCUACUGAGAGAGAGGGACUUAACAUUAGUAACUGCCAUCGAAAUGUGCCGCACUGCCGAAGUCACUGACAUGAGAAUGAGAGCAAUGGAAAUCGAAACACCACGCUCCAACGUUGAUACUGUUCACGCUGUUGCUAGGCAGACAUUCAGGCAAAACCAAUCGAGGCAGAGUAAUUCACCACGAACGGUGAACACAGAGAGCCCAGUAGCAUGUAAAUACUGUGGGAAUACGCACACACGUGGCAAAGAGCACUGCCCUGCCUAUGGAAAACCAUGCAGAGCUUGUGGAACUAAUAAUCACUUUGCAAAAGUGUGUCUCAAAAGCAAAAGAAGGGUGAGUGAGGGCAAGAUUCACUGUGUUGAUGACAUCACUCCAUGUUCAGAGCUGAACAGUGAAAGUGACAUUUACAUGCAUGAAUCCAUUGGGGCUGUACACUCAAGAGGGAAGAAAUGGUUUGUGACACUACGAUUACACAACAAGCAACAACAAUGUCAACUGGAUUCCGGUGCUACAUGCAAUGUAAUGAGCUACAAAGACAAAAUCAAUCUGGCACCUGACACACAUCUAUUGCCCAGCGACACUAGACUAAAGCUGUACUCAGGAGAGCUAAUGAGCUCUAUGGGCACCUUUGAGACCGAAUGUCUUAUUCGGGGACGCAAACACAAGCUGGAGUUUGAGAUUGUGAAAACCAGCCAACAUCCUCUCCUCUCAGGCUCUACAUGCGAACGCCUGGGACUGAUGCAGUUCACUGUACCAAAUGACCUGCACGUUGUGGAUCAUGUCCAGCAUGGACCCCUGUCCAAAGAACAACUACUCAGCAGAUAUGACGAUGUAUUCAACAUGCCCGUUGAAUCAGUGCCUGGGGAGGUACACUUUGAAGUGGAUGAGAGCAUCACUCCAGUCCAGUGUGCUCCUCGCAAUGUGCCCAUUGCAAUGAAAGUGGCUGUGAAGGCCCAGCUGGACAAGUAUGAGGCCGAUGGCCACAUGACAUCUGUGACCGAACCAACUGAC
rnacentral:lncRNA from 1 species